AUUUUAAAAAAAUAUAUUUUCUCGAACGAGGUCUGAAUAGAAAUUGAAAAUCUAAACAAUAAAAGUAUCAACUCCUACUAAAAACAACAGUAAAACUUUGAUCUACACUUAAAAUACUUUGAAAAAAAUAAAAAUUAAAAAAAAAGAGAGAAAAAUGAAUAUCACACAAUCAACCCUAACAAAAGUAGAAACUAAAUCCACUAAGAAGGAGACAAGACUCCACACAAACAACUCUUUUAACGGAGGGUGAGAUUUUUAGAAAAAGAGAUGGAUAGCCAUGAAGAAAAUUUGAAUGAUUUCUCCCUAUUCUCUCAGGAGGAGGAGAGAGUAUAGAAAAUAUCUAAAGUAGCACCUACUAAGGUUUUGUUUGAGAAACAAUAACGUUCCAUUAGAUUAAAUUCUUUUUUUUAAUAUUAAAAUGCAAUUCUAUUGAUUUAACAAUUAGAAGUACAUUCAAAGUUAUGUUAAUAUAAUUCAUAUGAAAUUCAACUCGAAAAUCUGCCCUAAUAAAAGAUGAAAAGCGCUACUCCUAAAUUAGGACUUAAUUAAAUCCAUAACACAUAGGAAAAGCAUGAAUCUUCGACCUAAAAAAUUAGAUAAAGGGGUUCGAAGUGGAUUUAUAACAUGAUUUUGUAAUUUAUAUGCAUGAUGUCAUGUUCAAACAUCUAAAUUUAUUUUUUAAGCAUAGAACGACUGGAAACUAAAUGUCAUUUCCACUCACAUCAACACUAUGUGUAUUCGAGUAUCAAUGCUUGACGUGAUGAGCAAUAUUGGGUUCAAAUUAUGCAAGAAUAACAGCAAUUCAAUUCAAUAAUUUAAACUAUCGAAUUGUCAUUCUCAUGGAUCGAUUAUUGUAUAUAUACUUCUUGCAUUUCUAGAGACGAAACACAAAUGGAACACAAACACAAGCAUUCAUUAGUUUAUAACGCCACAUAACCCAUGUUUUCUCAUCUUUUUGAAAAAGGAAUGAAGAUAAUUGAAUGAUGUGCCUCACGCACGUGACGUACCACAAAACGCUUAGACAUAAACGUGCAACGGGGCAAGCUUUGUGUCACUCCAGUCCGCUCAAGAGUUGUGACCACUCACUAAAAAAGAUACAAGAAAAUGUGAAAGACUAAAAUGCGCGUUUAUAACUCUUACUAAAAUCCAAGCGACACCGUCGCCCAUUGAACAACUAGCGAAGCUAUUUCGGAGCAAACUUAUAAAAGUGAUGAGAUAAAAUUUACCCAUUAGAUGUGCUGACAUUUGUCCAUCACCACCACCCAUUCCCAUUUGGUAUGCCUCGCUUUUCAAUCGAUUACAGAGUUCCCAAAUCCUCUUUCAUGAUUUUGUAAUAUACUUUUUUGUUUUAUUAUAAGUAUAUUAUUAUUGUGCGUGAAUUUUGUUAGAAUGAUAUUGAGAGUCACUAAUUUUUAAAAUUAGCUCAAAAAGUAAGAUUUUCUUCUUAUACUUAUAAAGUUGACAUCCUUUUUCUCAUACUUACAAAUUGAUCAAUAUCCACAAUCAACGAGGGAUAACCCCAUUAAUUUUCUCCCCAAACAAAGGUUUUGGGUUCAAGGGUAGGCAACUCGUUUCUCUCCUAUUAGAUUAUUGUCAGAUUUUGAUAUUAAUAUUAGGCAGUAGUGAAUAUCUCUCAACCCAAAAACUAACUCGAUGAAUAAGUUUUUCUCUCACACUUAUAUAUUGACUGUUAAUCUCUUCCACAACUCACGUGGAGUAACCUCAAUAAACUUCACUACAUAAUUGCAAACAAUGCGAUAUAUUGUUCUUAAAAAUUAAAAUCAUAGGACGAGAAAUUUAAAAUUGCUUAUGUCCCAAUCAAUAUUGUCAAAAUGAGACAAAGAUAAAAUUAUACCCUAUACUAUAAUUUAUAUUUUUAUGGCCAGCCAACAAAUUAUUGAUGUAAUUUUAGCAAAUAUUUUUCACAAAAUUUAACAAUCAACACGUUUGAAAUAUUUUAUCACUAUAAGAAUGCAACCAAAAUACUUCUUCCGUUAUUUUCAAAACAACUAUGUAAAGAAACAAAAAAAAAAAAUUGCCUGAAAGCUCAUAACAUUUAUAUUUUAUUUAAUAUUAGAUAAAACACGGUGUUGUAAAUAACAAUCAUAUGUUAGGUAAUUUCUUAUCUUAUCAAUCAUCAUUUCGCUUUCACAUGAUUAUUUACAAGAGAACUACACGUAAAUCACACAAUUUAUAUCUGAACUUAGUGAUUGUGGCAUUAUUGACAAAAAUAUAAGAAAAUCCAUUCAAUCACUUUUCCAAAAAUUAUAACAAAUAUUUUAACAUAAUAUUAUAUUUGAAUUCUGUUUGAAUAUCUCAUUAGAUAGUACAAUAUAUAUAUAGUCAUAUAACUACAACCUAAUAUAUCUCAGGGACCUAAAACUCAACGUAAUAUAUGUUAGGACUUACUCUAACGCAUCAAUAUUAAAGUCCUACCCGUAACACCACACACACACACACGCACACACACAAAGACUCGAACCCUUCAAUUUUGAUAUCUAAAUACUAGUUUUAAUUUUUGACACGUCAAAAUAAAUAACAAACAUGUUGUGUCAAAAAUAUUUUAGAUAUUUUGCUAAUUCGUAAAAUAUUUUUCUAAAAAUAAAAUGCUUUCAUAAACUCAUCAAUCACAAUAAAAAGCUGCCGGUCCAAUAGUUUUUUUUUCUUUUUCAUUUUUAUUCUAUCCCAAUUAAUUUCGCGUUGAAAAGAGAAACGAGCCAAGUGGGGUGGGUAAGGUAAGUGGUAAACACUAAAACGGUAACUCAAAGAGAUAAGAUGAGGUAAAACAUCAGCGUCAGUUGAAGGUGGCCACCCCCGGUGCAGUAUUGCAUGAGCUUGACUGACUGGUUUGUGUGCUCUCUUUCUGUUUCUUUGCUGACUAAUAAAGUGGGACUCGAGAAAUCUAAUAAAAGAUUUUUUUCUUUUUGAAAAAAAAAAAAGAAAAAUUAAAAAUUAAAUAAAAAGAAGGCUACAGGGUCAGGCCCGGCUACUUUCUCUCUCUCAACAGAUGUAUUUGUAUUUUUAUCUCACCCCUCUCCCCUUCUUUAAAGUGAUGGGAAGAAGAGAGUAGGGCCCCACUAAGUGUCCCCCACAUAGCUUACAGUAAUCCAAGGAGUGGGGUCACACUUUGUAUGCUUCCUUUCUCCUUAGCAAUUUUCACAAUCCCUUAAUCUCUCGCCUCUUGAUCCCUAACCCACAGACCAAUUCCCCCUUGUCUCCCCCUCUCACCUGCCUCGCCCGCCCCUUAACUUAAUCUUUCUUCCAUUAUUUUUAUAAAUUAGGUCUUAAAACGCUUUCAUCAAACACUAUUAUUAUAAUCCAAUAAGCUGCACCGUCUUUCAAGAUAGGCUUAAAGGUCAUGGGUUUAAAUCUCAUUGUUCGUAUUAUGAAAAAUAAUUUUUUAAAAAGAAAUUCGAUUCAUUUUGAUUCAUACUUCAGAUAUUAA
rnacentral:lncRNA from 1 species